rnacentral:lncRNA from 1 species
AGAGAAGAAGAUCUAGUGAUACAAGGGAAGAGAUGGAUGUGGAUCCAAGAAGGGAUGGAGGGUUAGGUGUUGGCACCACAGAGGAGGAUGUGGGAUCAUCACAGGGAGGCGGUCAGGCCUCGGGGUAUGGUUAUCCACCCCACUAUCAGCCCUAUCCACAGGGCCCAGGAUAUUCGAUGGGAGGCACAUCGGAGUAUCCUAGUUUUCACCCAUAUCCCACAUAUAUGCCUUA